UAGUCUAAAAUGGCCAGCCGAUUUAUCAUACGAACUUCAUUAGUUGAAGCUUCCUCUUGCUCUAUAUAUACAGACAACAAUUCAACAUUUAUCCAACAAAGAGUAUAGAUAUAAGUCCCCAAUCCCAUGGCCAAAGACCCUUCCAAUCACCACACUCAAAUCGAGCUCGUCGUCAUCGAGCCAUCGCCCAUCUCAACUCAACCCAGCCAUGCCGGCGUUUCCAAGUCUACAAUAUUGCCAAUCUUGGCCAGAUUCCACGCCGGCUACUUCCGGAUAAGCCUCUCGCUUUGCAGCCAGGCCUUGUUAUGGAAGACCCUGGGCGAGCCGAUGCCGGAAGCCCACUCCCUCCGCCCCCUGCUCCGGCGACUGCCUGCGAAGGCCUUCGUUCUCCUCUGGGUGGUGGCUUUGCUCACAUUAAUCUCUCUCUCUCUCCUCUACACUUUGAAGUGUCUCCUCCAGUUCAACAAGGUGAAAGACGAGUUCUCCAACCGCAUCGGAGUUAACUACCUGUUUGCCCCGUGGAUUUCAUGGCUCCUCCUCCUCCAAUCCUCGCCCUUCUUUAAUCCAAACACGGCCUUGUACGUGGUUCUCUGGUGGGUUUUCAUCGUCCCCAUUUUGGUGAUGGACGUGAAGAUUUACGGGCAGUGGUUCACCAAGGGGAAGAGGUUCUUGUCGGGGGUGGCGAACCCGACAAGCCAGCUGUCAGUGAUCGGGAACCUGGUGGCCGCUCUGGCGGCGGCGAGGAUGGGGUGGAAAGAGGCGGCGGUGGGGCUGUUUGCCCUGGGGAUGGCGCAUUAUUUGGUAUUGUUUGUGACUCUGUACCAGAGAUUGGCUGGGAGUGAUUGCCUUCUUCCGGCGAUACUAAGGCCGGUUUUAUUCUUGUUCUUUGCGGCCCCAAGCGUGGCGAGCCUGGCCUGGGACUCCAUAGCCGGAAGCUUCGAUAACCCGUCCAAGAUGCUCUUCUUUCUUUCUCUCUUCCUCUUCCUCUCCUUGGUAAGCACCAAAUUAAUUCAGAAUGUCUACAAAAGUUUGACUUGUCUUCUAUUUUUUCAAAAAAAAAAAAAGAGAGAAAGUCCCAAGAGUAGGAACUACUGAGAGGUAAGUAACUGCAGAUCUAUAUAUUUACAUUUCCAUUGGCUCGAACACCUUAUUAGUAUAAUAUUUUACUAAAAUCUCUCUAUAAUAUUAUAAGAUCUUAACUUAUUAUAUCUUUGAUCAACAUGACAAAAACACUACCAAACCACAAAAGACAAACAAAAAGAUGCUUACGGCCUGAAUUUGAGAUUCUUAGGCAAACCAUCAACUUAUUUAUCAUCUGGGCUGUGACUCUAAUAGUGUAGUUUUUUUAUUUUCUUAUUCUUUUACGUGUUUAAUUAGUUAUCUAUGUAGUUUGUGUGCUGCACACUUGAAAGGUAUUUAGAAUACAGUGGUUUUAGAGUUUAAGACUUAGAAAAACAUUUAAAGAACAGAAAAAACCAAGAGAUGUUGUAGUCACAUAUAUAUAUACAGAUAGAACCUUCAUGAUUUUUCUAACAGACACGCACACACAUAUUUGACAGCGUACGACGUCGCUUAUGAAUGUAUUAUAAGAAAUGAUAUCUUUCAAAAUUUUCUUCAUAACUUAAUCUCUUUCUCACGUUGGAACAAGGGUGUCACUUUCCAGCAGAAGAUAGAAAAUUGUGAGCGAUCCUCGUUAAAAGAAGAAUAAAAGUUGGCUUCGUCAUCUUUUGCAUGCGUGCAAGUCAUUUUCAUGAUAUCUAUGGAAGCAAAACAAAACAAAAAGUACAGUGAAGUGCAACAAAGCUGACAAUUGACAACUGCUACCCACCUCAGAUAUCUCAACUCAUAUAUAUAUAUAGUGACAUAUAUAAGAUCAAAAAACCAAUAUAUACAUGAUCAAUCACUCGGUCCAUGUAUGUAUGUAUAUAUAUGAAUAGUUCACUGUGAUGUACUCAAGAACAAGCCAAAACCACUCCUUUCCCUGAGCUAUGGAAUAAAAGAAUAAGCUCCAUGGAUGCUUCGUUUCAUCUCUGUAGGUAUCAAGGCCAGCCCUGUUCAGGAAAUCGAUGAAGAAGUUCGACGUGGCAUGGUGGGCUUACUCAUUUCCCUUGACGGUUCUGGCAAUCGCUUCAUCGGAGUACGCCAUGGAGGUCAACAGCGCCGCCGCCCACGUCCUCAUGCUGCU